UGGAUUUCUAGCAUCUGCGGAUUCUCUCCUGUUUUAAACUAUUUAUUGGUUUGUUGGACACAUUCUCUUUAUCAAUGAGCUCCCAUGCUCAUGUAGGAUGUAAAAUUCACACUGCUUGUGAGACAACUGUUGAUCAAAAGGCAAACUUCGUAUUGCUGUCCUGUGUUUCUAUCGAAUUUGGCGCACUGAACCUUGGUAGAAAACGCAGAGCCUUUUAAUUCAUCCCCUAGCUGGAAGAGACACGAUAAUACUACACUACCGCAUCGUAGCAUAACCCGUUGUUUUAAAAAAAAUAACACUUCUUAAAAUGUGUUUUGCUAACCAUUGUAGCUUGACAUUUAAUUUGCCUUCAAUCUAAUUAAUUCGAACUUGUUUCUUUGUUUGCAGAGUCAGGCUUCUCGAGAGACAUUGCAAUGUAGGUCAAAUUACAUAGCAACGCAUGUGCAGUCUAUAAUCUGUUCAUAUGCCAUCGUGCUUUUCUUUGACAAUCAAUUCUAAUGGAUCAUAAUGGCUUACAAAUUUAACGGUAAAUACUUGUAUACAGUGGCUCAGUGUAAGUUAAAUCCUCUCCUCGUCUCCAUAAAAGUUAAGACAGCAUGUUGAUAAUUAAAAUGUUCAAGCGAAAUACAAACGGGCACAUGGUGCACAUAAUGUUCUUCAAGAGGAUUAAAACAGAUGGUUGAGUAUGCGGAUAGCUGGGCUCACCAGGGGAAUUGCAGCUAUAGUAAUAUACUGGGGGAGGGGUAGGGCGAGAUGAAUCCACCACCCUUAUACUUUGUGGAGAUGUAAAAUUAUAAGAACCCUUGUCAAAACGUAAAUCAAUUCCAUUCGGGUUUGUAAAUAUUUAGGCAAUAUUUCCUCAAUAAUUUUAAAGGACGUUAAUUUUUCUCAUUACACGUUUCUGUUGAAAAUAUGGUUUUUAUUCGCUGCGUUACGUCGCUGCUUGUGCAUGGAGCACGCCUGACAACUACACGCACAUGUUGUAUUGACACACUGAAAAUAAUGCAGCAUGGCUGCAGCAAGCCCGCUCUGACAGCACAAGACAGAGUCUUAACCUCCUACUUAGACCGACGCCAAACAUACAACUACUAUAUGACUAAAAGCGAGGUUAAUGCAGUAAACCGCGCCACGUCCCCUCCUUCCCCACGUGCUUUUGACGGGAUUUAAUGCACGGUCCAUGUUUUUGUUAUUAUUGUGCAUCCCUUCCCUCCCCCCCCCCCACCACCAAACUCGGGAUGUCGUCGAUUUGCCAACUAGCCGACCAAUCAGCGCCAGGGUGACACUCUGAGUGACAUUCUCACUCUUCCAAUAGGAGCCGGCGGCAGUUCGAAUCACGCGCUCCAGCGAAGAGGGUGACGCAAUGUAUUCCAACCCGACCCGUCAACCUAACCUGGUAGUGCAGCCCUUGGUGACGCAGGCGAUCGGCGGUCUUCCACUUGGCCAAUGAAGUGGGCGGGUAAGGAUGCUACCUUCCCGACCGGGGAAGAGUGCGAGCAGCGCGGACCAAUGGGCGCCGGAGGGGGGCGGGGCGAGGGCGAUAGUAAAGCUGGGUUACGCUGCUCUGGCGUCUGUAACUUUGUACCGUCGGGAGAAGCGGGGAGGGAUAGGUAGAGAGGGAGUGAGAGGGAAUAUGAGUGUGUCUCUGGCUCGCCAGUUUCCUUGUCAGAGUGGGAGGAUAAGCGACAGCGAAGCGACGGCAGUGGCAGCGAACGUGGAGCUCCGCACGAGCCAGCCGGUGACCACCGAGUGACCGUGCGCGUGCCCCCGCGGGGGGGCGAGGGCUCGAGGCCAGCAGUCGGUGCGCGAGCGAGCGGGCGGGAGGGAGAUCGACCCGCAGAAACCUUUAAAAACCCCUGCACGGAAUUAUUAACCCCUUCCGCAUCUCUCGCUCAGAGGGAAAGCGGGGCGGUGGGUCCGGGCAGAGGCGAGUUUGUGUGACGCGGGGAGGGUGGCGGUGACACGGACUCACGAGCCAGCGAGUUAACGACCGUGUCAAGAUGGCAGCGGCGGCGGCGGCGACGGUCUGCUGAGCGCACUCGCCGAGCCCACUCCCUCACUCCAGUUUGAACCCGGUUGCCCGCCGUGCGGCAGAGUACGGCGUCCCGCGGCGCUUUGAGCCCCUACCACCUCAUCUUCACUCUCGCCCCACCGCCGCCGACCUUCCCCCGAGCGCAAACCAUGGCCGAGGGGGUCGCUCCCGCCCCGCUGGACAUAGACCCCGACUUCGAGCCGCAGACUCGUCCCCGCUCCUGCACCUGGCCUUUACCCCGACCCGACUUGCCCGGCUCUUCGUCUGCCUCGGGCAAGAAUGAUUCCGGGCCCGAAGCGGCGGAGAUGAUACCCGAGGAAGAGGAGGACAUCGACGAGCUGGGCAGCACUGAGUGCGGCUUGCCAGCCGUCCCGGGCUCGGGUCCGGGACCGGGCGGCGGAGAGCUGGUGCCGCAAGGGGUAGACGGUCUGAAGCAGCCGGCGGUGACGAGCGGACCGCAGGGAUCUUGCUCUCCGCCGCCGUCCUCGACUGCAGUCAGCGGCUCCGGCAGCGCCUUCAUUGUGGCGGGGACGGCUGUCGGUAGUACGGCCGGGCCGCAGCAUCGCAAAGCCUCGUCCCGUAGGAACGCCUGGGGCAACAUGUCGUACGCGGAUCUGAUCACGAAAGCCAUACAGAGUUCGGCGGACAAGAGGCUGACGCUAUCCCAGAUCUACGACUGGAUGGUCCGCUGCGUGCCCUACUUCAAGGAUAAAGGCGACAGCAACAGCUCGGCCGGCUGGAAGAAUUCAAUUCGCCAUAACCUUUCACUACAUAGUAGAUUUGUCAGAGUACAGAAUGAAGGUACAGGCAAAAGUUCUUGGUGGAUGAUCAAUCCAGAUGGUGGAAAAGGUGGGAAAUCUCCACGAAGGCGUGCUGUUUCCAUGGAUAAUAAUAACAAAUACGCAAAGAGCAGAGGUAGAGCAGCAAAGAAAAAGGCAGCCCUGCAAGCAGCACAAGAAAGUAAUGCUGAAAGUCCAUCGCCGCACACAAAAUGGCCUGGAAGCCCAACAUCUCGCAGCAGUGAUGAAUUUGAUGUAUGGACAGACUUCCGUUCUCGUACUAACUCAAAUGCUAGUACCUUGAGUGGACGACUUUCUCCUAUAUUAGCCAAUCCUGAACUUGACAAUGUUCAAGACGAUGAUGCGGCUCCUUUGUCUCCCAUGCUGUACACUAGUUCAUCCAGUGUUUCCCCGACUACAAAUAAACCAUGCACCGUUGAGCUCCCUCGGUUAACUGACAUGGCUGGAACCAUGAAUCUGAAUGAUGGAUUGACAGAACAUUUGAUGGAUGACUUACUGGACAAUAUUACUCUGACACCUACUCAACAAUCAUCACCUGGGAGUCUUGUGCAGAGGAGUUCAAGUUUUACUUAUGGGUCAAAGAGUUCUGGUUUAGGUUCCCCGAACAGUUUCAGCAAUUCCAUAUUUGGGCCACCUGCUUUGAAUGCUUUGCGGCAAACUCCCAUGCAAACUAUUCAAGAAAAUAAGCAAGCCACAUUUUCUUCCAUUUCUCAUUUUAACAACCAAACUUUACAAGAUCUACUUGCCUCUGAUUCUCACAGUGACGUUAUGAUGACUCAGUCAGAUCCUCUGAUGUCUCAGGCAAGUUCGGCAGUGUCUUUACAAAAUUCGCAUAGAAAUCUGAUUAUUCACAAUGAUCCAAUGAUGUCAUCCUUCACUGCUCAGUCUAAUCGGACAAACCAUAAUCCACUGCAUAGCCAGUCUCCAUCUCAUACUUCUGCACUUAUUGAUGAUAGUGCCUUGUCAAACUCCAUGAAUCAUGCAGCUUUACCAACAGACUCUAAUAAUGUCUCCACAAAACACCAGCUUCACUCAUCUGCCAAUCGGUCUAUGCAAAUAGGAUUGUCUGAUGCACUUUCUGGCCCUUCCUGUCCUGGUAGCAUGACUCUUCCAGCUAUAGGACAAGACAAGUUUCCUAGUGACUUGGACUUAGAUAUUUUCAAUGGGAGUUUAGACUGCGAUGUGGAAUCCAUCAUUCGUAAUGAACUUAUGGAUGCAGAUGGGUUAGAUUUCAAUUUUGAUUCACUCAUAUCUGCUCAGAGUGUUGUGAAUUUGAAUGUGGGAACUUUCACUGGUCCUAAACAAACAUCAUCACAGAGCUGGGUUCCAGGCUGAAGUUGCCUUUUACUGGUGGAAGCAGAUCAAGCUUGUUCGGCUUGGAAAACUAAGGGAUUACUAAGAUUUUCUGAUUUAUUUUUAGACAAUUGUUUCAUGUCUUUUGAGCAAUUAUCCAACGAAUAUAACUUGCCUAGAUUUCAUUUUUUUUUUAGAUAUUUACAGAUUAGACAUUUUUUAAGUUCUGUACUCCCUACAUUUCCAAAUUUUGUGCCUUCAGAUAUUUUGGAGAGUUUAUUUGAAUUAGACCCUUUUCAAAAAGGGCUUAUUUCAAAACUUUAUAAUAUAAUUAUGAAGAUACGUUCAGAGCCUCUUUAUAACACUAAAAAGGAUUGGGAAAGAGAGCUUAGUCUUAUUAUUUCUAGUGAGAAUUGGGAUAGAAUUCUUCAAUUAGUUAAUACAUCAUCGUUAUGUGCCAAACAUUCAUUAAUACAAUUUAAGGUCGUACAUAGGGCCCAUAUAUCCAAGGAUAAAUUAGCUCAUUUUUACUCUCAUAUUAGUCCUAUUUGUGAUAGAUGUCAAUCUGAAAUUGCGUCUUUAACUCAUGUUUUCAUCUUGUUCAUUUUUGGAGAAAUAUUGGAAAGAUAUUUUUGAUAUUAUUUCUGCUGUUUUGAAUAUUGAUUUACAACCUCAUCCUAUUACCGCAAUUUUUGGUUUACCAAUGUUAGACUCACUGCAUUUAUCUUCUUCUGCCCGUCAAAUGAUUGCAUUUCUAACUCUGAUGGCUAGAAGAUCUAUAUUGUUGAAUUGGAAGGAAAUUAAUCCUCUCACUGUAUUUAAUUGGUUCUCUCAAACUAUCUUAUGUUUAAAUUUAGAAAAAAUUAGAAGUGGUACUUUUGAGACUUCUAUUAAAUUUGAAAAGUUAUGGAGACCAUUUAUUCAACAUUUUCAUAUGAUGUAAUAUGACCCUGUGCCAAGUUCAUUUGAUUUCCCAGCUUUUAGCUUAUGUAUGUUGAGAGGACCGGAAGUCAACGACAUUGAUGAAUACUUAUUUUUGAGAGAUAUUAUAAACAGCCCCCUUUUUUUUCUCUCUUUUUUUUUGUUUCUUUUUUCUUCUAUAUUAGUUAUUAGAUUAGUAGAUUAGCUAGUUUUGCAUUAUAUAUAUAUUUUUUCCUUUUUUCUGUUUUCUUUAUAUCAUAUAUUAUGAAAUAUUUAGAUUUACCAUGUUCAUACAUAUAUUUUAUGGCUUAUGUCUUGGUAAACUCAUUUAUAUUGUAACUAUUAUGUAUGUUUUUUUCAUAUGUAAUGGAAUUUGUAUGUUGGUAAUUUCUUUAUCAAUAUAUCAUUUGUAUUCUGUCCAUAUUACUAAUAAUAAUAAAAAGAUAAAGAAUAUUGAUAGUGAGGAAUUUAAUGGUAACAGUCUCUUGUUGAAAAUGGUCACUAUCUGAAAUUUGUAUAAUGUGAACAUUAUUUGAUUAUCAGUUGAUGCUUGAAUGUUGUCUGAAUAUUGCUGCAUGCAGAUAUAUACUGCAUUAUCUGAAUAAUUUGGAUGGAUUCUUGUAUCGCGCAAUCAUUGGCAAAUAUCCCCACUCCUGACCUUAUGGAAAAAGAUAGACAGUUGAGGUGAAAGUAGUUGGCCCAAGGCACACCCGCAGUAACCAUGGCCUCUUUUAACUUCCUUUUCAUCAUAGCCUAUUGAAGCCAGGUUUGCUCUAUACCAGUGGUUCCCAAAGUAAAUAAUACAGCCCCACCUCCCAGGAGCGGUGGGAGUUGUCAAGGGGGGCGAUAAAGAUAAGGGAGCAGUGGGAUGGCUGCCUGCUAGCAAGGGGACAGCUGAGGGAAUACAGGCUUAAUUUAAGAAAUGAAUUACUAAUUAUAAGCAUUUGAUCAAAGUCAAUCCAAUAACUCUUUAAUGUUAGGGUUUAAGAUUUAGAUUCAAUGAUGAAAUGCCAUUUGCUCGUCAGGAUGGGAAGUAAAAUCAGUUUUCACCAUAUUUCUGUACAAGUUAACCCUAUCUAAGUGCAACAUUGGCUGUUGUGACCUUUUCCAAUUACUGAGCCUCUGAGUUGGAAGAGAAAGAAAGGAUACCAGAUAAUCUUCAAGUAUGCUGUGCCCACUCGACUGAGCUGCAUAAAGAUAUGUCAGACAGGUUUCAGGAUCUUCUCUCAGUCCAUAUUCCAGAUUGGGUAAUUAAUCUAUUCCUGAACACUUGUAAUGAAGAAUUAAUGGGAAGGAUGAGGGAAGAACUGAUCUCACUACAAAAUAACUUUGAGCUGAAGCAGAGGUUCAAAACAUCUUAAGACAAUUGGUUGCAGAAAGAAAUCUCUGAAUGCUUUGCUAUUGUGUGGAAAAAGGUCGAUGUUUUUAAUUGCCUUUCAAAUGUCAUAUUUAGUGAAGUUUGGUUUCAGUGCAGUCGCCCAACUUCUUUCAAAGCAACAAAACAGCUUGCAAAUUACUGAACAUGGGAAACUGGAAGACUCCUGAGUGACAUUCACCUGAUGUUGAGAGGCUGAUAUCACUGCGCCAAACCCAUCCAUCUCAUUGAAAGGUUAGUAAACUGAAUCAUUUUUGCCAGAUCGGCUAUCGUCAAGAUAACAUUGGAUUUUACCAAGUUUUGUCAGCUGUGAAUCUGAUAUCGUCAUCUGCAAUGGGACAUUUCCUGGAAUUUCAUCUCAAUUGAUAUAAGAUGUUAUACAAUUUACAUUUAAAAUGAUUUUGAAGUGUUUAAAAAUUACACAUAAACUGUACAGUUUCUCCUGCAUUCCAUUAUAUUUAACUGUAUAUAAAUUGUUGAUUAAUACGGGUUGGUGCAUAAUUUUAAUUUUAUUUGAUAAGAGCAUCUGCCUAUUGUCUCCAUCGUAUUAGGAUGAUUGAAAUGUUGAUAGAAUGGGUCUAAUGAGUAGUGCCAACAAAAGCAAGAAUAUUAAUGAGACAAUUAACACAUAAACUGAUGAAAUGAAGUGGGACAAAUUUGGUGUUGUCAGAAUGCCAGAAGACUUUAAAGCAGAUGAUUUUUAAAAAAAUCUUUUUUAACGUAAUACGCAAUUGAUUAAUUGGCAUUUUUAAAUAACUUGAAACUGCAUGAGCUUAUUCAGUGUUGAAGUGCUGGUUUGAAUGGACACCUCCAGUUUAUGACCCAACUUUAUUUGGUCUUCUGUAAUGGGGUUGGUGAUUAAAAAUACAUUUGUGUGUUGACAUUUCACUUAGCCUCAGUAAAACUUCAGACUUUGCUUGGCUUUCCAGACCAGUGCUAUGUAUAGACCAAUCUUGUGAGAAAUUGAUGGAAAGUUUUUUUUGUGUGUGUGUGUCUACACAAUAUGACAUUCAGAGAGAAAAAAAAGCCAAAAUAAUUUUCUCUCAAAGUUGCAUGCAUUGAAAUUUUAAUAUAUUUACAAGAUUGGACAGUUUUCUCUAUACAUUCAUAAUUUUUUCCAAAAUUCUUAUACUUUUAAACAAAAUAUCAUCCUCCCCAUUCUGAGUACAGAUUGAUUUGAUAUAACAAAUUGUAUCACCAGUUGACAAGCUGCCUCCCUUUUGAACAGAAUCAUCAAUGGUCAGCUUUAAUGUCUAUUUUCGGUAGGUACAUUUAUACUUAUAAAGUAAAUUGUUUUCAAUAAUGUAUUUCUGUAUGACAUUUGUACAUUUAUUGAAAGUUUUAUUGUACUGUGUACCCUUGAUCACCUUUUUGAAAUGUUUCUAUAUAAAUAUACAGCAGCUCAGAUUGCACCAAUUUAUGCAUAUUUCUUCAACUAAUGUGGAAGAUUUUUCUCUUUCAACAAUAGGGUAAUGCACAUUUAUAUUUUACUAUGUCCAGAGACAAAUCAUUAUGCAUGAUUAUUUAGUAGUAAAUUAGCAGUUUGCUUCAACUCAUUGCAUGAAGUUCAAGACCAUCGUGGUCAUUGAUGUCAGUGCUCCUGGGGAAGUGAGCAGUGAUGAAACUCUAUUGUAUAACUUAUCUGUCUCUCAUAAAUGAAUUCUUGUCUUUUCAUCAUGGAAGUCACCUGAAAAGGUGUGCUAUAUGCUAUUGUAUUUGUAGAAUGAUAGCAUAUCAGUUAUGGCUGUUGAAUUGCUUUCAUCAAAUAUAAAUGAAGUUUAAGGUAGUAUAUUCAUUCCUUUCAUUUAGCAAUAUUUUUAAUCUCUUGCUCCUUUUUUUUUCUUGAAAAAGAACCUUCUGAAUCGGGUAUUCAGAGAGAAUUCUAUUCCUGCCAAUUUUCACAGCCACAUCAUAGAAAAGUAAUUAAAAAGACCCAAAUUUCUGCUGAUCCCUUUGGAGUCUUAGUACAAAUCAUCACCCAAGUCUGAAUAUGUAGCAAAUCUUGGGUUGUAUCUCAGGAUAUGGAGAUGGAAUUGCAGUGAUUUACUGUAUCACAGUAUAACAAUAUUUAUGUAAGCCCUUUUGUGGUUUGUAUAAAAUUAAUGGGAGUGAAAUAUAGUGAUUUUAUUCUUAGAAAUUAAAUAAGUCCUAAUGAUUGGAACUUGUACAACUCAAAUCAUUCAUACAUGAGCCAACUUGCUAAAUUCACCUGUGCACUGCACGUUAAUCAGAUUCUGUGGCACAAUUGUUGUUUCACUUCAGAAAAUAGGCAAGUGGUAUGUUAGCUAUCAGUUAAAUCUAUUUGGUUUAAUGUACCUUGUAUGAAACUGCUACAAUUCUGUUUUCUGAAACAAAUCAUGCAGUUUUUAAAUUAAAUCUGUCCACUUUUCAUUUCUGCCUGCUCCAAUUGUUCAGAAACAUGGUGUCUGACACUGAUUAAAACUGAGCUGGGAUAUCGUGUAUUUUAUUUUUCAAGUUCAUAUAUUGGGAUAUAUAAUGUAUAUAAAAUUUAUAUUCAGAUACAUGAAUAUACUACCUUCCCUUCACCUCCUGUAAAUUUGAUAGUUUUGACAAGAAACCAGAAGUUCUAUUGAACUGCAGUUUUUUUAUUAAAUAAAUUAUUGGUAUGUAUUGCAAUGUACUUCAUUAAUCUGUGCUCUAGAAGAGUGCGCAUGUAAAAUAAAGCUUGAUAACACUA